GAUGAACGCUGGCGGCGUGCCUAAUACAUGCAAGUCGAGCGAAUGGAUUAAGAGCUUGCUCUUAUGAAGUUAGCGGCGGACGGGCGAGUAACACGUGGGUAACCUGCCCAUAAGACUGGGAUAACUCCGGGAAACCGGGGCUAAUACCGGAUAACAUUUUGAACCGCAUGGUUCGAAAUUGAAAGGCGGCUUCGGCUGUCACUUCUGGAUGGACCCGCGUCGCAUUAGCUAGUUGGUGAGGUAACGGCUCACCAAGGCAACGAUGCGUAGCCGACCUGAGAGGGCGAUCGGCCACACUGGGACUGAGACACGGCCCAGACUCCUACGGGAGGCAGCAGUAGGGAAUCUUCCGCAAUGGACGAAAGUCUGACGGAGCAACGCCGCGUGAGUGAUGAAGGCUUUCGGGUCGUAAAACUCUGUUGUUAGGGAAGAACAAGUGCUAGCUGAAUAAGCUGGCACCUUGACGGUACCUAACCAGAAAGCCACGGCUAACUACGUGCCAGCCGCCGCAGUAA
rnacentral:rRNA from 1 species